UACGUAGGUGGCAAGCGUUGUCCGGAUUUACUGGGCGUAAAGGAUGCGUAGGCGGAUAUUUAAGUCAGAUGUGAAAUUCCCGGGCUCAACUUGGGAGCUGCAUUUGAAACUGGGUAUCUAGAGUGCGGGAGAGGAGAGUGGAAUUCCUAGUGUAGCGGUGAAAUGCGUAGAGAUUAGGAAGAACACCAGUGGCGAAGGUGACUCUCUGGACCGUAACUGACGCUGAGGCAUGAAAGCGUGGGGAGCAAACAGG
rnacentral:rRNA from 1 species